rnacentral:pre_miRNA from 1 species
AGGUAUUGUGUUGCAGCCAAGGAUGACUUGCCGGUAAUAUACAUAUAUAUGAGAAGCUAAAUAAAAAUGUGUCUAAAUUUCCACAAUGUUUUUUCUCCUAUAUUUUGAUCCAUUGCACUUCCACAAUUGGAUUUUGCAUGAAACUAUGCAUCGGCAAGUUGUCUUUGGCUACAUCUCUAUCUCC